rnacentral:lncRNA from 10 species
UGCCAACCCAGAAGCCACUGUUAGGAGCGGAUACAAACAGGGGUGGCAAACAUUUCAAACCGUGGAGAGGUGUGGCCUCCACAGAGAGGUCAGGCUCCAGAAGUGUGGGUGAUUUUUCAUCCACGAAACGAGGCUGGAAACACAGCCCCUGCUGAGGACACCAUGUGCCUUCCUCCCCAGAGGCCAGCAGCCCCAGCACACCCUGGAACAGCCUUGUCAUCUACGGAGCAGUCUGAGGAAUUCACAAACCUGCAAAGGGGCCCCAGAAACAUUGCAGCCAGGGGACUCGGCUAUCCCUGCGGACGGGAGAGGCUCUGGGUUCUGUCCUUCAAGCAGAAAGGACUUUCCUUGGGCUGGUGAUAGAGGUACCAGCAAAGGGUCCCAGAGCCACAGAGCAGAGUGGAUCCGAGAUGUGGGAUGUCAUCAGCCCAGCUGCUCCCUGGGCCCUGAGGCCUUUCUGUCCUUAUGAUCACACACGCCUUCCCAGGGUGGGAUGCAUCACCUCCCAUCCACAGUCCCCACCCACCUCCCAGCUUGAAGAGCAGAGCCUGCCACAGCCAGACCCAGACAAAUCCCAGUGUCACCCACACAGGGAACCGCUCCAUCCCCAGGUGUAGAGGACUGCACAGGAUGAGAACUGCUCACACACAGGAGCCAAACAAAAGCCACUUUAAAGACAACUGUGAGGCCAGGCGUGGUGGCUCACACCUGUAAUCCCAGAACUUUGGGAGGCCGAGGUGGGUGGAUCACCUGAGGUCAGGAGUUCAAGACCAGUCUGGCCAACACGGUGAAACCCCAUCUCUACUAAAAACACAAAAAAUUAUCCAGGCGUGGUGUUGAGCACCUGUAAUCCCAGCUACUCAGGAAGCUGAGGCGGGAGAAUUGCUUGAACCCGGGAGGCAGAGGAUGCAGUGAGCCGAAUAGCACCACUGCACUCCCGCCUGGGCAACAAGAGCGAAACUCCAUCUCAAAAAUAAAUAAAUAAAUAAUUAAUAAUAAUAAUA